GAGACCACAGGCCCUAUACUAGGGGGCCCACUUAUUGAUCUGGUCCACUCUGUAAGCAGUCCAAUGGAGAUCAGUCCAAUGGAGGAGAGCAACACAGGCAUUGGGGCUCUUCUGUCCCCAAACAGAAUGGAGUGUCUACUAAUGGCAGGCUGUCUCCACAGAGGGUCUGAAGUCCCCUCAGGACCGCAAGCGGGAGCAGGAGCUGCUGAACCAAUAUGUGAAUACUGUGAAUGACCGAAGUGACAUCGUUGACAACCUGGAUGAGGAUCGGCUCCGGGAACAGGAGGAGGACCAAAUGCUGGAGAGUAUGAUCCAGAAUCUGGGCCUCCAGAGAAAGAAGUCCAAGUCCUUCUUGUCCAAGAUCUGGUCCUCGAAGAGCAAAAGUGGACAGACAUGAGCUGCACAUGGCUGGCACAAGGGCCCUGGCCCUUCUCAGGAAGAGACUGGUGCUGUGACUCCAGAAGGGAUGCUUGAGGGUACCAGGGCCCAUGGCUCCCACUCUGGGUCCUUGUAACCUCAAUAAAGACAUUGACCUUCUCUC
rnacentral:lncRNA from 1 species